rnacentral:tRNA from 1 species
CCUUAAGUAAGCUAUAUAAGCUGUUGGGCUCAUAACCCAAAAAAGGUCAUUCCCUUAAGGA